GAUGAACGCUGGCGGCGUGCCUAAUACAUGCAAGUCGAGCGAACGGACGAGAAGCUUGCUUCUCUGAUGUUAGCGGCGGACGGGUGAGUAACACGUGGAUAACCUACCUAUAAGACUGGGAUAACUUCGGGAAACCGGAGCUAAUACCGGAUAAUAUUUUGAACCGCAUGGUUCAAAAGUGAAAGACGGUCUUGCUGUCACUUAUAGAUGGAUCCGCGCUGCAUUAGCUAGUUGGUAAGGUAACGGCUUACCAAGGCAACGAUGCAUAGCCGACCUGACAGGGUGAUCGGCCACACUGGAACUGAGACACGGUCCAGACUCCUACGGGAGGCAGCAGUAGGGAAUCUUCCGCAAAGGGCGAAAGCCUGACGGAGCAACGCCGCGUGAGUGAUGAAGGUCUUCGGAUCGUAAAACUCUGUUAUUAGGGAAGAACAUAUGUGUAAGUAACUGUGCACAUCUUGACGGUACCUAAUCAGAAAGCCACGGCUAACUACGUG
rnacentral:rRNA from 1 species